rnacentral:hammerhead_ribozyme from 1 species
GCACUGCUGAGGAGUCCUAUACUAGGACGAAACAACUGUCCAAUAC